GGUCCUGUGACACUGGAUACGCCACGAACGAACACGGCUGUCUCACGUGCGAGUGUAACGCGCCAGUUUGCCCAGCGAUGACCUGUGACCUGAACUGCCCAGGGGGACUGGCGAAGGACGCCUAUGGAUGCGAGCUGUGCCAGUGUGCGCUGUUCGACGACGGAUUCUGCACGCACCACGAUCAGCACUACAAGAACGGGCAGAAGUUCCUGUCGGACUGUGAGGGGGAGGGGGGCUGCUGCGAGAUGGUCUGCCACUGUCUGGACAACCACGUCACCUGUGAAACCAU